CCAGGUCCACAGUCUACUUCAAACUCUACUUCAUAUUCUCCAGGCUCUGAAUCUCAGAUAGUGUUGAUUUCUGCUGCUGUUGCUGCUGGAUUUCUGUUGAUUGUAGCAGCAGUCGGGAUCUACUGGAUCUACAGGAGACACAGAAAAACAGACCAAGCAGGAACAGAUCAAACUCGUAAUGAAGAGAUCACUUACGCUGAUCCAACAUUCUACAAACAAAAAGCACAGAAACUGGGAGUCAAACAGGAGGAUGAGGUGGUGUAUGCAGGCGUUGUCACAAAAACAUGAUCAAAUUCCUUAUUAAUG